rnacentral:lncRNA from 1 species
GCUAUGAAAAUAUGAUUCUACAAUCAGUUUAUUUAUAGUUUUGGCAUGUGAACAUCCAAACCAUGUUCAUCACAGAACACAAUAUGUACCUAGUUUACUUGAGUUUUCCAAUAUUUUUUGAAUAACUGCACAUUAAUUACCUUGUUCAACUGAUCAUUCCAUCAUUUUGUGGUGUGCUGCGUCUAUUCUACACACAAAAAAGAUGGGAAACAACAACGUUGCUGGUUUUCUCCAUCAUAGAGGGAGUCUUCCAUUUUCAUCCAAUAUUCAACUGGGAACAGAUGCUACCAUCAACAUGAAGAAAUCUAUCUCUCCCUGUGUUGGAGCAUUCAUCGAAGACGCAGAAGUUUUAUACACCGUUGAAGGGUCAAAGUGCAAACUCAUGUUAGGAAGGACGGUUUGCUUUGACGGCAAUGUCGACGUGGUAUCGUUCCUUCUCCAUGACAGCAUAAUACGUUCAGACGAAGAAGACCUACACCUGCCGAUAUUCAAAUUGGAAACUGGUUUGCUUCACGUGCCCGAUGCGUUUACGUGUUCCAUCGCGUGGACGAAGACAAGGAAGAACGUUGAUGCAUGGGGUGGGGCUAAGGACACCAAAGUUUACUUGUAUGGCACUGCAAACAGGUGUGGUCUUCUUGUUUUUGAGUGCAAGAAAAACGAUUCUCAUGAAGCUGAUGCUAAGGCAGUGACUAUAGCACACUAUUUUGUUAGUAGUAAAGGAUCAGUGGCUGUUAACAGAUCAAGUGAAACAACGGAUAUUGGAUUUUCUGUUGUGACAAAGGUUGGAGUCUGUGAUGGAAAGUUUGAUAUAACAGUGGAGGGUCCUGAACGACACCCUGUUUCUGCAUUAUUAUACAUGUUUGGUGAAGUGAGUAGAAGUGGGAUUUGGAAGCCAAGCAUGUGCCCUCAUUGUCGUAACAUUCAGAGGGAGCAUAGCAGAAUGUUUUUGCAGUCUGACAGUGAAGACGAUGUUGUUCCCUUUCCACCACGUCUUGGUAGCCAGCGAAAUGCAGCAACCAUUGCCAACAAUGGAAGGUUUAGAGGGCAUGCUAAUGGUAGUUCCAUCAGAUGCAAAUAUUUCUAUGGUUUUAAUUGAGUGAAGAUCCUAACUUUGUGUGUUUCUCUCUCAAUAUAUAUGUUCAAUAAUAUGUUAGUAUUGUAGAAUUUUAAGUUUGAAUGUACUAGAAAAUGUAUCUCAAGUCUGAAGAUAAAAAUGUCUUGUAUUUUGGACAAGAGUUUCAACUAUCAUAUGAUUGCAGACAAAGAAUCACAAAUUGUAAUCCAAUCCUUUUUCAUGUUCAAAAUAGGUAAUAUAAAAAGGAGCAUUAUUCUUCGAUACUCUUUCAUAUUUUCUAUACCACUUUUCUUUUUUUAGUAUCCCAUUUGAUUCUUUAAUCUUCCACUUCUUAUACUCAUUUAAGUACAGCAGCCUAACUUAUGAUAACCACGUGUAAAUUUGACUUUUAUAUCUAAUGUGGGUGAUGCACGAAUAUAUUGAAAGACAAAAGCGGUUUGGAAAAAUAUGACAGAAUUAGAUGCUACUGAAUUAUAAUAAUAAGCUGAAGAACAGUGCUACCAACUGGGAACAUAUGCUACCAUCAACAUGAAGACAUCUAUCUCUCACAGGUUUGAAGCAGGAUAUGCCGAAAAGCAGAAGUUUUAUACACUGUUGAAGGGUCAAAGUGCAACCUCGCGUUACAAAGAUACGUUUUGAAUGACGGCAAUGUCAACUUGGUAGUGUUCGUACUCCAUGACAGCAUAAUAUUCAGAGAUUGUAUUAACAUUCAGAGAGAACAUUGCAGAAUGCAGUCUGAUAGUGAAGACAACGAUGGUGUUCCUUUACCACCACCUCUAGAUACUCAGCAAAAUGUAACAUCCAUUGCCAAUGAUGAAAGAUUCAAAUGACAUGCUAAUGGAAGUAUUAUCAAAUGCAAAAAUUUCUACGGUUUUAACUGAGAAAAAACCCUAAUUUCGUGUAUGUAUAUAUAUUUUUAUGACCAUGUUAAUGUUGCCUAUUAUAUAUGUAAGAAAUUGUGAAUUUCUUACUUUUAUAUUAAAAAAGUAAAAAUAAAAUUAUUAAAGUAAAAGAUAGAUAAAGCUAAAUUAACAAAAUAUUUGUUGAAUAAAAAAGGGUCCACUCUAUCACAAGAACUUUAUUGAUAGAUUAUAAUGGAUAAGUUUGUCUGAAGGGAGCUCAUUAAUUAUUGUUGUUGUUUUGAACCCCACACAAUUCUUCCUUAAUGAUUUCAGAUUUCAAAGAAAUCAAACCACAUGAAAGUUAUAUUUCCAACAUAAAUAAGAUCCACUAGAUUUUUUAUACCACAUUGUAUUGAGAAAUUUUCUUUUAUUUUUGUGGUUGCAUUAUUUGGAGUAUGAAACAUGAGGCAUGCACACGCAUGAAAGAUAAAAUGCUAACAAAAGAUAUCGAAACAUUGUAAUAAUAUAAAGUCCAAACUACAGAAAACCCACUGCCAUGGAACUAGCAACAUCAAAUCAAUAUCAUCUCUAUUAUUCUUUAUUCUUCCACUUGUUUGAUUCUUUUUUAUGAAGCGGAGUGGGGAAUCUUUCCUUUGAAUUUGUUUGAAUCCAAUGAAAGAAAAUAAGAAAAAUAUUAAAUUAAUGGAUGAGUGUAUAUUUAUGUCUUUAUGUUAGGUUUAAUAUCAAAAUUUUAAUUGAUUUUGUGUUUAAAAUAUUGAUUUAAAUAAGAUUUGUGAUAAUUGAAGUUAUUAAGUUUGUGAAAUAAAAUAUCUUAAAAGGGAUAGACUUUUAAUCAUAUAGACUCAACUGAGUUUCAAUUGUGUCGUCAUGAUUUUUGACUGGCAAUGUUGUCUCAAUUAAAUUUCGAUGAGAAUUGACUCGAGAGAGUUUUAGCCGUGGUGACCUCCUGUCAAAUUUGACCAACUUUUUAGUGGAGUCGACUUGAUUGAAUUUCGAUUAAGACCAACUUGGCCAAAGUUUAGGGGGACCAACUCCACCAAGUUUUGGGCGUAUUCAUCCUAGUCGAAUCCUAGUCGAAUUCGUUCUGGGUCAACUUAAGUGAAUCCAAUUGAAUUUUGAUCGGGAUAGACCUCGAUUGAGUUUCGAUCAUGGCCAUUACAAUCGAAUUUGACCGAAUUUCAAUUGGAACUGACUCAACCAAGUUUUGAUUGUGGACAUUCCAAACGAAUUCGAUCGAAUUUUGGUCCAAACCUGUUUCAAUCUUUUGCAAGACCUACCUCGUCUCAAUCUUUUGUCUAUCCUAGCUUGUCUCAACCUUAGGUUCGACCUUACCUUUUCAACCUUCAAUCUUACAUGACUUGUAUUAACCACUAAUCCAACCUAACUCGUCUCGACAUUUGAUUCCAAGUUAAUUCGUCUUAACAUUUGAUCUAAUCCGUCUCAAACUUGAGUUAUAAAGUCCAAACACUACAAAAAAACAAACAUCAAUUGUUCAUGUCGAUCAUAUUGCUUAAUAGUGUGCCCUCAUAAAUCGCAUUAACAAGAUCAAGAUCAAAACCUUCUUUAUUCUUUCACAAGAUCCAUAUCGUCCCUAUUAUUCGUUAUUCUUUCACUUUGUUUGAUUCAUUUCUGUCUAGUGGGAAAUAUUUUCUGUGUAUUUUUGAAUGUACCGAAAGAAAAUGAGGUAAAAUCAAAAUAAAAUUGAUGCAAUACUGCAGUCAUUCAUGCCAUAAUAUAGUUUAUGAUGGAAACAAUAAAGAGAAUAUAUAUAAUUAAUUCAGAGACACGAUCUUAGCAUUAGCUACCUUCAAACAUGAGCAAUUAAAAAUAAAUGUGAGAAACUAUAAUUGACAAGAACAGAUAAUAUUACGAAGAAAUAAAUAAAUUAAAAUGGCCUAUAUAUUAUAAAACAGUAACACUUAGAUGCAAGUGUAUUAUAUAAAUGCACAUAACAUUGGCUUACUGGGUUUUAUUUUUUUUCACACUUUGUGGUAGUAGAAUGUACAUGUUAUAGAGCACCGCCAAUUUUUAUUUUUUUUAAAAGGGAAUUAGAAGCUUCUUUAUUAAAAAAGUAAAAAAAAAAAAAACGUGUUUCGAAGGAGACUGGUAAACUUUAAAUUGAUGUAAUUAAUAAUAAUGUUGGUGGUGAGUGAUUAUUAUCUUGAAUUUAUGAUAAAAAAAACAUUUCGAUAUAGUUUCAUAGUUUUAUUUUAGUAAAAUUAAUCAUUGAUUAUAUUUUACUUAGUUUCUGUUAAAAUAUAUUAAUUUAAGAUGAAAUAUUGAAAUACUUGUACAUGUCUUAAAUUAAACUUUCAAUGUAAACUUUACAUAAAGAUAAAACUAGUGACAUGGUCCAGUUUUUAGCAAUUGCAUAUACGAAAUUUAAGCCAAUAAUAUUCAAAGUAAAAUAUUCUUUUAACAAAGCUUUUGUAAAUUAUACAUUCAUGUGUGAUAACUGUGGUUAAUAUAUAAUAAUAAAAUAUUGAAUGUUGUAGAAAUUUAAAGGAGUUCUGAAAGGACAACUCCUCAUGCUAAAAAUAUAAUUUUUAAACAUAAAUAUAUUUAGUUGCAGAGUAUAUUUUAUUCAUUUAAAAAUAUUAUAAAUUCAAUUUUCAAUUAUAAAAAAUACUGAGAGAAAGUGAUUUUAAAACUAGAAUUAAGUUGUGCUAAAAAAACCACCCCAAAACUGGUUUUUAAACUAUACUGUUAAAGAAAAAAACUAACACUGCGUUAUAGAAUCGAAAAGUAGAUGGAUCAAGAAUCAAAGAAACAAGAAGUGGAAGAAUAAAAAACAGCAUAAACACCAUAAAAAGAAAAGUGGUUUAGAGAGAAUUAGAUGCUAGUGAAUUAUAAUAAUAAGCUGAAGAACAAAGCUUCCCUCAGUGAGAGUGAAAAUAUGAUUCUAUAAUCACUUUAUUUAUAGUUUUGGCAUGCGAACAUCCCAACCAUGCUCAUCAUAGAACACAAUAUGUAUCUAGUUUACUUGACUUUUCCAUUACAUUUUGAAUAAUUGCACAUUACCUUCUUAAACUGAUCCAUUCCAUCAUUUUGUGGUGUGCUGCAUCUAUUCUACACACAAAAAGAUGGGAAACAACAACGUUGGUUGUUCUCUUCGUCUAAGAGGAAGUCUUCCAUUUCCAUCCCAUAUUCAACUGGGAUCAGAUGCUACCAUCAACAUGAAGACAAUCUCUCGCAGGACUAGUGAUGGAACAUAUGACGAAAACGCAGAAGUUUUAUACACCGUUGAAGGGUCAAAGUGCAAACUCGUGUUCAGAAGGAAGGUUAUGUAUGACGGCGAUGUCAACGCGCUAGGGUUUGAACUCCAUGACAGCGUAAUAUGUUCAGGCCAAAAGAAACUAACCAUUCCGAUAUUCAAAGAUGGAACUGAUUUGCUUAACGUGUUACUUUUGGAUAAGUAUUCCAACGCGUGGACGAAGACAGGGAAGAACUUUGAUGCAUGCGGUGGGGUUACGGACACCAAAGUUUGCUUGUAUGGCACUGCAAACAGGUGUGGUCUUCUUGUUUUGGAGUGCAAGAAAAACAAUUAUCAUGAACGUGAUGCUAAGGCAGUGACUAUAGCACACUAUUUUGUUAGUAGUAUCGGAUCAGUGGGUGUUAACAGAUCAAGUGAAACAACAGAUAUUGGGUUUUCUGUUGUGACAAAGAUUCGAAGGUGUGAUGGAAACUAUGACAUAACAGUGGAGGGUCCUGAACGACACCCUGUUUUUGCAUUAUUACACAUGUUCGAUGAAGUUAAUAGAACUGGGAAUUGGAAGCCAAGCAUGUGUCCUCAUUGUCGGAACAUUCAGAGGGAGCAUAGCAGAAUGUUUUCUCAGUCUGAUAGUGAAGACGAUGUUGUUUCCUUACCACCACGUCUUGGUAACCAACGAAAUGCAGCGACCAUUGCAAACGAUGGAAGGUUCAGAGGGCAUGCUAAUGGUAGUUACAUCAGAUGCAGAAAUUUCUAUGGUUUUAAUUGAGUGAAGACCCUAAUUCUGUGUGUUUCUCUCUCAAUAUAUAUGUAUGUUGAAUAAUGUGUUAGUUUGUAGAAUUUUAAGAAAGUUUGAAUGUACUACAAAAUGUAUAACUCAAGCUAGAAAGAAAAUAAUAGAAAGAGAGAUGACCCCAAUUUCCAAAUUCUCUUCCUCAUAUUCUAUAUUUUAUUUUAUACUACAAAAUAUUACAUUUACUAGAUAUCACCAACAAAGUGGUGUCACAGCCGGGUUCUUACACCAAGAAAAAAACAUCAAAGUAGGAUAUAACGGGCAUAAAUACUUCAACAUCUACAACAAAAUUCAUGGCAAUGUCCAACUCUUUAUUCGAAUGAGAAAAAUAUGGUUUUGGAGUAUUAAAUUGGAAAGUUUUGUUUACAUCUUUGGAUGUGACUCGCACAAACAAAAUAUGAUGAUGAAGCCACUGCAUCUGCACAACAAGCAGCAGUGGAAAGAAAUAAAAUAACAGAUUUUGGAGUUCCUUAUUCAAAGAGGAUUAUCAGUAGCCAGACUUCCAUGGAUAAUGAAAGCAAAAACAACCAAGGAAGCAUAAGACACUCUUUAAUAAGAGUUUGAAGGAUAUUCAAAGGUGAGAAAACAGUCAAACUUCAUUCUCUCAAGAGAGAUUUAUUUAGGAUGAAGAAAUGAAAGAAAAGGAAAUUUGCAUGAAUACUUUAACAAAUUAUCUGAAUUGGUGAAUCAAAUGAAGUACAAUGAAGAUACAAGAUGAUAGAAGAAUAACGGAUAAAAUUCUUAUUAAGUUGACUGAAAAUUUGACCCUAUGGUGAUUGUUAUAGAAAAAACCAAGGAUUUGUCACUCAUGACUUAUAGGGUUGAUGAGGUCACUUAGAUCAUAGGAGCAAAGAUUGUUGUCAUAUUGAAAAGUCAAUCCAAAUCAUGUUCUCACAUCAAUGAAUAUUGGUGAGUCUUCUAAAGGUGGCAGAUUUAACAGAGAAAGAGGAAGAAAUGUGGAAGAGGAGGAUACUACAGACUGUGGUGAAAUAGGAAUAAUGAAGAAUCAAACAAGUGGUGUGGAAUUUGUAAGAAGAAUGAUCAUGAAGAAAAUAAUUGUUGAAAUAAAGGCAAGCCAUUAUGCUAUAUAAUUGUAGAAGGUUUGGGCAUAUCAAUUUAAUAAUCUAGCUAGUAUCUAAUUCUCUCUGAUAUUUUCUAAACCACUUUUCUUUUUUUACCCAUUUGAUUCUUUAAUCUUCCACUUCUUAUACUCAUUUAAGUACAGCAGCCUAACUUAUGAUAAUCCCUAUUCAAUAUAUUUGUUUUUAUAAAUAAAUAAAAAACAUAAUUUUUUAUUUUAGGUAAUGCUCAAGUAAAUCACAGAUACAUAAAUGUUGCCUAAACAUAGGUAAGAAAAUUUAAAAAUGAGAAUGAAGAAGAUGAAUGUGAUGAAAAAUAUAUAAUUCUUCCACUAUUUUACCUUCUGUGGCAGCGUGGUGGCAUGCCAACUAUAUUAUCAGGCUGGUAAAACCUCUGCUACUCUCACUUGGAAGACCAAUAUCUGUUGUUUCAGUUUAUCUGUUAAAAGUUGUUUCGAUAUUCUUAGCAAAAGUAGUAGUGCCUUAGUGUCAGCUCCUUACCAAUUUUUACACUCUUCAACUCCAAAACAACAAGAAUAGUAUUAUUAUAGAAUUAAUCAUCAUUGCACUCUCUUUCAUAUUUUCUAACCCACUUUUAUUUUUCAUUUGAUUCUUUAAUCUUCCACUUGCUACACUCAUUUAAGUACAAGACCUCGCCUAUGAUGAUAACCAAAUCUAAAUUUGACUUUUAUAUCUAAUGUGGGUAUGCACCAAUAUAUUGAAUGUAUUAUUUUGUUAGAGUAAAAGUAUGAAUGUGAAAUCUCAUAUAUAAUAGAAUGGAAAAGUAGAUGAAUCAAGAAUGAAGCAAGUGGAAGAAUAAAAAACAGCAUAAACACUAGAAAGAGAAAAGUGGUUUGGAAAAAUAUGACAGAGAAUUAGAUGCUACUGAGCUGAAGAACAACGCUUCCUUAUAGUGAGCCAAAAUAUGAUUAUAUAAUCAAUGUAUUUAUAGUUUUGGGAUAUGAACAUCCCAACCAUGCUCACCACAGAGCACAAUAUGUACCUAGUUUACUUGAGUUUCCCAUUAUUAUAUUUUUGAAUAACUUCACAUUACCUUCUUCGACUGAUCCAUUCCAACAUUUUGUGGUAAGCUGCAUCUAUUCUACACAUAAAAAAGAUGGGAAACAACAACCUUGCUGGUUUUCUCCGUCAUAGAGGGAGUCUUCCACUUUCAUCCCAAAUUCAACUGGGAACAUAUGCUACCAUCAAUAUGAAGACAUUUAUCUCUCGCAGGUUUCCUAAUGGAACAUAUAUCGAAAACACAGAAGUUUUAUACACCGUUGAAGGAUCAAAGUGCAAACUCACGUUAGAAAAAGAUGUUCCCACUGACGGCAAUGUCAGAGUAGUAUCGUUCGUACUCCAUGACAACAUAAUAUGCUCAAACUUCCAAAGCCUAUCCCUGGUGAUAUUCAAAAGGAAAAUCUGCGGUUUUCUUGAAACGUACGAGUCUGGCAUUCCCAUCCCAUGGACGAAGACAAAGAAGAACGUUGAUGCAAGGGAUGGUGUUACGGACACCAAAGUUUACUUGUAUGGCAAUGCAAACAGGCGCGGUCUUCUUGUUUUGAAGUGUAAGAAAAACGAUGAUAGUUUUGAUGUUGUCAAGGCAGUGACUGUGGCACACUAUUUUGUUAGUAGUAACGGAUUUGCGGCUGUUAACCGAACAAGUGAAACAACAGAUAUAUCAAAUAUUGGGUUUUCUGUUGUGGCAAAAGUUGGAGUUUGUGAUGGAAAGUUAGAUAUAAGUGUGGAGGGUCCUGAACCACACCCUGUUUCUGGAUUACUAUACAUGUUCGAGGAAGUGAAUGUUGUAGUUGUAAACUAAACUGACGUGUGUCAGUUAUUUUGCUUCACAUACUCUGUAUAUAUACACCUUUCUCUAUCUCUCUUUUAUCAAUAAUAGAAAUACUUUUUCAGUCUCUUCCAGUGUUACACGUUAUCUCUUUUUUCAUUCUCUGCAUCACGUUCUGUCUCUCUCACACACUGCCACGCUAUCCGCUAACAGUGGUAUCAAGAGCUGCGUUCGAAAGCCUGGUGGAUCAGUAGAAACAGAUUAAGAAGAAAUGGCUGGAGUAAUACACAACAAUCUCCCGGUGUUUGAUGGAAAAGGAUUCGAUGACUGGUGCGUCAAGAUGGACGCUAUUCUCGGCUUUCAAGAAGUGGACAAGGUGGUCAAGAAGGGGUUCAAGGAACCAGCAAAGGGCGAUUCUGAAGAGGCAAAGCGUCAAUACAAAGAAAACAAAAGAUUAGAUUGUAAAGCCCGCAUGUUGCUGCAUCAAUGCGUGUCAGCCACUAUCUUCCAGAAAGUUUCAAAGGCAGUCACGGCGAAGGAAAUUUGGGAUAUUCUUCAAGACGGCUACGGCAACACAGGUAAGGUCAAGAAACUUAAGCUACAGUCGCUUAAACGUCAAUAUGAACUCUUGGGCAUGGAAGAACAAGAAUCCGUUGUUGACUAUAUCGGAAGAAUCCAAAUGAUAGUAAACGCCAUGAGAGCGUGCGACAAAGUAGUGAAAGAUAAGAAAAUCGUGGCGAAAAUCUUGAGAACGCUGACUCCGCAAUUCGACCAUAUCGUGGUAGCUAUUGAAGAAAGCAAGGAUGUGGAGAAAAUGAAGAUUGAAGAACUGCAGAACUCGUUGGAAUCACACGAACAACGUCUUCUUGAAAGAAAGAAGCCAGAGAAGGAAGUUGGUCUUGAUUCUAAUCAGGCACUACAAGCUAGAGGCAAUUUUAAACCCAGAGGACGUGGCUCUGGAAGAGGCAGAGGUAGAUCUCGGGGAGGCAGAUCUGGAGGAAGGAANNCGAACUUUUCCGAUCAGAAUGUNGGAGAAGAAGGNGNCNAUAGCAAAAGGGGUGGAAAGCAAAUCUCAAGAGGAAGAGGUAGAAAGAAUACAGAUAAGAGAAACAUCCAAUGCUAUACAUGCAGUAAGUAUGGACACUACUCAAGUGAAUGUUGGCACAAUGAAACCGUAAAGAAGACCAAAGAGGAUGAAGCGAAUCUGGCACAGGAAACAGAAGCAGGUGAUUCUGAUUUGGAUCAUGUUCUUCUUAUGAGUACUAUAGUUGUUGAUAAAGAAAUGCAGCGGUGGAAGUCAACACAAGAAAAGGAGACUUGCAAUAAAGACAGAUGUCAAGAAACAAUCGAACACGUGUUAUUGUCACAUGAUGCAGGACAUGCAGAAGAAGAAGAUACUUGGUAUUUGGACACGGGUUGCUCCAACCACAUGACAGGAAAGAAGGAGUGGCUGAUCGACUUAAAUCCGAAUGUCAGAAGCACCGUAAGAUUCGCUGAUAACAGCGUUAUAAUGGCUGAAGGUGCUGGAAGAGUUUUAAUCAAACGUAAGGAUGGACAACCAGCAUUCAUGAACAACGUGCUGUAUGUACCAAAUAUGAAGACCAAUCUGCUUAGCCUUGGGCAAUUGCUAGAAAAAGGCUAUACUAUAAACAUGCAUCAAAAGCACAUAGAAGUAUUUGAUAACAGAAGGCGUUUCGUGCUCAAAGCUCCGUUGUCCAGAAACAGAACUUUCAAGGUGAAGCUUAAUGCUGCAGCUGUUCAAUGCCUAUCAUCUAUCAGUACCAAGGAAGAAGAGUGGCUAUGGCAUCACCGCUAUGGACAUCUAAACUUCAGAAGCUUGAAGCAGUUGAAGGAUAAAGAGAUGGUGGAAGGAAUUCCUGAGAUUCACUCACCAAGAAAGAUAUGUGAAGGUUGUGUAGUUGGAAAGCAGACUAGAAAACAAUUCAAGAAAACGGCACAUAAGAAGGCCAAGCAACCUCUUGAAUUAGUUUAUUCAGACGUGUGUGGACCCUUCGAGCAAGAAUCUAUUGGAGGUAAUAAGUAUUUCCUUAUCUUUGUUGAUGAAUGGACCAGGAAAAUCUGGAUUUAUCUGAUUAAGGAAAAGAAAACUGUUUACUCAUGCUUUGUCAAAUUUUGUGUCAUGGUGGAGAGACAAUCUGGACUGCGUAUCAAGACACUCAGAACUGACGGUGGAGGAGAGUUCAACUCUCACGAAAUGAACAAGUACUGUAGUGACAGUGGCAUAACACAUGAAGUUGUUGCUCCCUACACUCCACAACACAACGGAUUGGCCGAACGAAGAAAUAGAACACUGCUGGACAUGACCCGGUGUAUGUUAAAAUGCAAGAAAUUGCCAGACUACUUGUGGGGAGAAGCUGUCUCCACAGCGACGUAUCUCUUAAACAGAAGCCCAACAAGAGUCUUAGAAAACUGCACACCAGAGGAAGCCUGGACAGGUAUUAAACCAACUGUUAAUCAUUUUAAAGUUUUUGGUUCAGUGUGUUACAGGCACAUCCCAGACGCAAAGAGGAAGAAGUUAGACGAUAGAAGCGAGACUUUUAUCUUCAUAGGAUACCAUUCCACAGGUGCAUACAGGCUAUACAAUCCAACGAAUAGACAAAUCGUGAUAAGCAGAGACAUUAUUGUCGAUGAGAGAACCACGUUUGAUUGGAAGAAGUUCGAAACAGAUCAAGAGAAGCCUGCUGUUACUUCAAGCUGGUUGGAAGAUUGGACCCCUGAUGAUAAGCAAGCUGAAACACAUGACAAUAUGGAUAAUAGGAGAUCACAGAGGACGAGAUUUCCAUCCUCAAGAUUAGCUGACUAUGAAGUGUUUACUGACAAUGAUGUAGCUGACCCUGGAGAUCAAGCACACAUCGCGUUUCUUNCUGAUGCAGAAAUAAUCAACUGGAAACAAGCUCUUGGCAUAAAGGAAUGGAAAGAAGCCAUGAUUGAAGAAUUAAAAGCUAUCGAGAAAAACAAAACUUGGGAAUUGGUAGAGCUGCCUCGACNAAAACAAGCAAUUGAAGUNAAGUGGGUCUUCAAGACGAAGUUUAAACCAAAUGGUGAGGUUGCUAANNUCAAAGCAAGACUUGUAGCGAAGGGAUUUCUACAAANACCGNGAAUAGACUUCACAGAAGUGUUUGCUCCAGUCGCAAGGCUAGAAACNGUAAGAUUAAUGGUUGCUCUAGCAAAUCUCAAGANNUGGGAAAUACAUCAACUAGAUGUUAAAUCGGCAUUUCUGAAUGGACCUCUGAAGGAAGAAGUUUAUGUAAGACAACCGCCUGGUUUCGAAAGGAAGGGUGAAGAACACAAGGUUUACAGGUUAAACAAAGCUCUGUAUGGACUAAGGCAAGCACCGCNAGCCUGGAAUGAACACAUCAACGCGCUACUUCUGAAACUUGGCUGUAUAAAGUCCUCAGUGGAAUCUGGGAUGUAUAUAAAAUCAGUAGCACAGCAGAUUGUUUUAGUGAUAUGUCUAUACGUCGAUGAUAUGCUUGUAACUGGAAAUUCUAAAACGGCGGUUGAGGAAUUCAAGACGAGGAUGAGGGCAGAAUACGAUAUGACUGAUCUUGGAAAACUUAACUACUUUCUCGGUUUGGAAUUUACUGAAACAACAAGUGGANNNNNNNNNNNNNNNNNNNNNNNNNNNNNNNNNNNNNNNNNNNNNNNNNNNNNNNNNNNNNNNNNNNNNNNNNNNNNNNNNNNNNNNNNNNNNNNNNNNNNNNNNNNNNNNNNNNNNNNNNNNNNNNNNNNNNNNNNNNNNNNNNNNNNNNNNNNNNNNNNNNNNNNNNNNNNNNNNNNNNNNNNNNNNNNNNNNNNNNNNNNNNNNNNNNNNNNNNNNNNNNNNNNNNNNNNNNNNNNNNNNNNNNNNNNNNNNNNNNNNNNNNNNNNNNNNNNNNNNNNNNNNNNNNNNNNNNNNNNNNNNNNNNNNNNNNNNNNNNNNNNNNNNNNNNNNNNNNNNNNNNNNNNNNNNNNNNNNNNNNNNNNNNNNNNNNNNNNNNNNNNNNNNNNNNNNNNNNNNNNNNNNNNNNNNNNNNNNNNNNNNNNNNNNNNNNNNNNNNNNNNNNNNNNNNNNNNNNNNNNNNNNNNNNNNNNNNNNNNNNNNNNNNNNNNNNNNNNNNNNNNNNNNNNNNNNNNNNNNNNNNNNNNNNNNNNNNNNNNNNNNNNNNNNNNNNNNNNNNNNNNNNNNNNNNNNNNNNNNNNNNNNNNNNNNNNNNNNNNNNNNNNNNNNNNNNNNNNNNNNNNNNNNNNNNNNNNNNNNNNNNNNNNNNNNNNNNNNNNNNNNNNNNNNNNNNNNNNNNNNNNNNNNNNNNNNNNNNNNNNNNNNNNNNNNNNNNNNNNNNNNNNNNNNNNNNNNNNNNNNNNNNNNNNNNNNNNNNNNNNNNNNNNNNNNNNNNNNNNNNNNNNNNNNNNNNNNNNNNNNNNNNNNNNNNNNNNNNNNNNNNNNNNNNNNNNNNNNNNNNNNNNNNNNNNNNNNNNNNNNNNNNNNNNNNNNNNNNNNNNNNNNNNNNNNNNNNNNNNNNNNNNNNNNNNNNNNNNNNNNNNNNNNNNNNNNNNNNNNNNNNNNNNNNNNNNNNNNNNNNNNNNNNNNNNNNNNNNNNNNNNNNUUCAGUCUCUUCCAGUGUUACACGUUAUCUCUUUUUUCAUUCUCUGCAUCACGUUCUGUCUCUCUCACACACUGCCACGCUAUCCGCUAACAGUGAAUAGAAGUGGAAUUUGGAAACCAAGCAUGUGCCCUCAUUGCGGUAACAAUAGGAGGGAGUAUAGCAGAAUGUUUGGGCAGUCUGAUAGUGAAGACAAUGACCAUGGCAGGCCACAAAAUGCAGUAACCAUUGAAAAUAGUGGAAGGUUCCGAGGGCAUGGUUGUGGUGCUCGGGUAGGCCGAGAUUUCUAUGUUUUUAAUUGAGAAAACCUUCUUGGUGUAUAUGUACUUUUACUUUUAUGAUUAUGUUCAUGUUACUCUCUCUCAAAGAAACGUUAACAUAAUAUUUUUUUUGGGUGUGACUUUGGUGUCUUUUGGGACUUUUUUCAUCGAAAAAUUAUGAGAAUAGAUAUAUUUUAAAAAGGUAAGAAGUUUAGGGAAGAAAGUAAGAAGUUGUUUCAGAAGAAGGAUUACGAAGGCGCCAUGUUCAAGUACGAGAAGACACUGAAGCUGCUUCUAAAGAACCACAUAGAUGUUGCACACCUUCAUACCAACAUAGCCACAUAUUACACGCAAUUGGGUAUCAAGGAAUACCCUCGAGCCAUUCACAAAUGCAAUUUCCCGUUGGAAGUGUCUCCAAUACUAUCAUGAGGUAAAAAAAAACAAAAAAAAAAACUUUAAACUUUGAUAAAUUUUUAAAAACACAAAAUAAUGAAAUUAAAAAAUUAUAACACCAUUAAAAAAGAGUUAAUUGAGAGAAUGCAAAGACUAAAAAAAACUAAAUAUAAUUUAAUAUAUUACCAAUCGUAAACAAUAUUACAACCUAUUAAUUUGGGUUGAAUUCUACACUUUUUUUAUUUAACGAUUGGAUUCUUAUUUUUCACUUUUUUUUCCAAUGUACAUUUAUUCUUUUUUACUUUGAUCCACUAUUUUUUUUUUCAAGAUCAAGAUAAAUAGUUAAUUGGAUCGUAAUUAACAAAAAAACAAACAAAUAAAUAAAUAAUUUUUACAAAUCAAAUAUAGAAUUACACAAAUUAGAAAAGAAUACAAAAAAUAUGAAAAAUUAAAAAUUCAAUGAAAUUAGAUAAAAUAUUGGGUUUUUUUUAAUAGGACAGAAAAAUAAGAUAAAAGAGGAUAUUCAAAUUAAAAUCUUGUUCUAGAUACUAGAUGAUGUUAUUAUUUGAUAAAAAUCAGAAUUAUUAUCCAAAAACUAAGAUAAUCUCCCUUAAAAAUGCAAAUGCAUAUAUUAUAAUUCAAAAAUGUCUACAAUGUACUUAGUACCGUUAUAUAGACACAAAUAUUCAAAACACCUAAGUCUAAAGAUAUUGAGUCUAAAAAUAAUUCAAAAAUUAAAAAUAAAACUUAAACAAAUUAUUUGCAAUUAAAAAAAUUAUAAAUAUUUUUAAUUGUCUAAAUUACUGUAAAAUUAUGCUCCAAUUUAUAAUCUUGAUGUCCUUUGUAUUAUUCCCCAUAUCUAAUUCUCUUUCAUAUUUUCUAAGCCACUUUUCUUUUUCCUUUGAUUCUUUAAUCUUCCACUUGCUACACUCAUUUAAUUACAAGACCUAGCCUAUGAUUGAUGAUAAGCACAUGUAAAUUUAACUUUUAUAUCUAAUGUGGGUGAUGCACGAAUAUAUUGAAAGAGAAAAAUGGUUUGGAAAAAUAUGAAGAGAAUUAGAUGCUACUGAAUUAAUAAGCUGAGUGCUUCCUUAUAGUGAGCGAAAAUAUGAUUCUAUAAUCAGUGUAUGAAUAUAGUUUUGGGAUAUGAACAUCUCAACCUUGCUCCCACCUUUACUUGAGUUUUGUUGGAAUUGGUCAACAAAUAAUUAGUUUUUGAUGGAGAAGCCGUAUUGUCUUUUAGAAAGAAACAUUAAAGCUAAUAAAUUUUAAGCAUUUCAAAAUUAUAGAAAACAAAAAGGUGAGAAUUAGAAAUAAAGCAUGCAUCUGUAAAUGCAAAAGUUUUUUAUGUAUUCAAAAUGAGAAAACAAAAGAGUGACAAAAUAAUAUUUUAUUUUUCUAGAUUUAUUUGGCUUCUGAGAUGAGUGUUUUCUAAAUACUAUUUUGCAAUUUUUCAAAUAAAUGUUCUGCAGUAACCUGAAGAGGUUUAGGGUUUAUGUGUAGUUAUUAUGUAUCUACUUUGUAUAAAUCUGAUUAUAAGAAAAUGUGUGUUGUUUCCUAACAAGUUUCUCAUUAUAUUUUUUGAAUAAUUGCAUAUUACCUUGUUCAUCUAAUCCAUUCCAACGUUUUGUGAUGUGCUGCAUCUAUUCUGCACACAGAAAGAUGGUAGUCUUCCAUUUCAAUGCCAUCUUCAACUUGGAACAUAUGCUACCAUCAAAAGGGUUGAAUUUUCACACACAGCUGAAGGGUCAAAGUGCAACCUCGCGUUAGGAAGACGUGUUACUAAAGACGGCAAUCUCAACCUAGUAUCGUUCUUACCCAUGACAGCAUAAUAUGUUCAGACAAAGAAAAGCAAUCCCUGAACAUACUCAAACCCGAUAUCCAUUUUCUUUUCCUGUUCAACUCUAACAUCGCGUGGACAAAGACAAAGAACGUUCAUGCAAGGGAUGGCGUUACGGACAGCAUAAAUUCAAUUUUAAAUUAUAAAGAAUAGUAAUAGAAAGUGAUUUUUAAACUAGAAUUGAGUUGUGCUAAAAACUACCCUAAACUGGUUUUGAAACUAUACUGUUAAAGAAAGAAACUAACACUGCGUUAUAGAAUUGAAAAGUAAAUGGAUCAAGAAUCAAAGAAACAAGAAAUGGAAGAAUAAAAAACAGCAUAAACACCAGACAAAGAAAAGUGGUUUUGGAAAAAUGAUAGAGAGAAUUAGAUGCUACUGAAUUAUUAUAAUAAUAAGCUGAAGAACAACGCUUCCCUUAGUGAGAGUGAAAAUAUGAUUCUAUAAUCAGUUUAUUUAUAGUUUUGGCAUGUGAACAUCCCAACCAUGCUCACCACAGAACACAAUAUGUACCUAGUUUACUUGAGUUUUCCAUUAGUUUUUUGAAUAACUGCACGUUACCUUCUUCAACUGAUCAUUCCAUCAUUUUGUGGUGUGCUGCAUCUAUUCUACUCACAAAAAAGAUGGGAAACAACAACGUUGCUUGUUUUCUCCGUCUAAGAGGGAGUCUUCCAUUUCCAUCCCAUAUUCAACUGGGAACAGAUGCUACCAUCAACAUGAAGAAAUCUAUCUUUCCCUGUCUUGGAGCAUUCAUCGAAGAAAACGCAGAAGUUUUAUACACCGUUGAAGGGUCAAAGUGCAAACUCUCGUUAGGAAGGAAGGUUUGGUCUGACGGCGAUGUGGAGAAUGUAUCGUUACUUCUCCAUGACAGCAUAAUACGUUCAAACGUGGAAGACCUAUACCUGCCGAUAUGGAAAUUGGAAACUGGUUUGCUUUACACGCCCGAUGCGUUUACGUAUCGCAUCGAGUGGACGAAGACAAGGAAGAAGGUUGAUGCAAGGGGUGGUGUUACGGACACCAAAGUUUACUUGUAUGGCACUGCAAACAGGUGUGGUCUUCUUGUUUUUGAGUGCAAGAAAAACAAUUAUCAUGAACGUGAUGCAAAGGCAGUGACUAUAGCACACUAUUUUGUUAGCAGUAAAGGAUCAUUGGGUGUUAACAGAUCAAAUGAAACAACAGAUAUUGGAUUUUCUGUUGUGGCAAAGGUUGGAAUUUCUGAUGAUAAGUUUGAUAUAACAGUGGAGGGUCCUGAUCCACACCCUGUUUCUGCAUUAUUAUACAUGUUCAAUGAAGUUAAUAGAAGUGGGAUUUGGAAGCCAAGUAUAUGCCCUCAUUGUCGUAACAAUCGGAGGGAGUAUAGCAGAAUGUUUUCGCAGUCUGACAGUGAAGACGAAGUUGUUCCCUUCCCAUCACGUCUUGGUAGCCAGCGAAAUAUAGCAACCAUUGCCAACGAUGGAAGGUUCACAGGGCAUGCUAAUGGUAGUUACAUCAGAUGCAGAAAUUUCUAUGGUUUUAGUUGAGUGAAGAUAUCCUAACUUUGUGUGUUUCUCUCUCAAUAUAUAAUUUGAAUAAUGUGUUAGUAUUGUUGAAUUUUAAGUUUGAAUGUACUACAAAUGUAUCUCAAGUCUAAAGAUGAAAUGUGUUGUAUUUUUUCUUAUCGUUUCAUUCAAUUUAACUAUUUUUUAAAUUUAAAUAAAUAAAAAUCAUCUACUAAAUAAAUAAAAUUCUACAAAAUGAGUAAAAACUAUCGAUAAUUAUAUUGUAAAAAUUAUUUAUAUUUAUUUUUAUAGUUAUAAUUUUAUUAUUGUUUUGUUAUCACAAAAUGACAUGUGUUCACUGGUUAAGUUCUAAGUUACUGAUAAAUGAAUAUGAGAGUUUCUAUUAGAUUUGUGUAGUUGAGUUUUUCUUAGAUUGUCUUCAUCUCUCAUAUUUGUUCGCUUUUUGUUUUUAAAGGUAGAAAGAAGUUAGACACAAACUUAUUAUUUUUGCUUUCAUAUUUUCUCUAUUAUAUUUUAAGAAAGAAAAAAGAUAACUCUAAUUUUACUUACUAGUAAAAUAUUAGUUUAAUAAUUAACAAAUUUUAAUCCUUAGAUUUUAGUAAACAUUGAGGAAAUAUGCAUUCUUGUAAACAAAUUUUAUUCUUUCGGUUUUAGUGAGUAAAAGAAAUAUUAGUUUAAAUUUUCAAUUUCAAAUAUUUGAUUAUUGAUGCUCCUAACCAUCAAGAUUUGAAGAAUUUAAUAACCAUCCUUUGAAUUAUGUCAUUCUUUGGCAAUAACAAAAAAGUUAAGGACAUUUUACUUUAUGGCCAGUCUACUUCAUCUUAUUUUUUCCUUUUAUCAAAUGAGUAAUGGUAUGGUCAUUUGAUAUAUGCUAGAGGCAAAAUAGUCAUAGUGAACUUUUGUAUUUGUAAAGAAAAUAAAGAUUAAAAGGUAAGGAGAGAUACUCUCAAAUAUGUAAAAAAAAUUGUGUCAAAAUAUUAUUAUUUUUAUUAAAUCCAUAAGCUAUGGUUAUGUGAAAAAUGUAGAUACACGAAAAAACAACAUUGAUAUGAGAAAAAUACAACACAAAAUACACAAUUCCUAGGUUACAAGAAAAGGUUGUGACUUACGAGGGAACAAUACCAAUGUGAAAACUUCAGUAUAACAUGGAAUGAAGAUUGACAUAAGAAACAUAGUUUCUUCUCCCCUAUGUUGUUUCUUGUAGCUAUAUUACUGAAACACAUCAUAUACACACACAAAGACAUUUAAUCCAUUUGGGUUGGAUUCAACCACUUUCCAUCUUGCUUGUUUUGGCUAAACAUCUUAUACAAAAAUCAUAAUCUUUGACUGUUCUUAAUGGGAUAAAAAUGAUAAAAUCUCAUCAAUGUAAGAGAAAUGGACAAACAUUGAAUUCUUCGUUCAAAUCUAAGACAGAAAAUUAGGUGUCACCAUUAUAAUCAGAUUAGAAACUAUAUAGAUUUAACUCAUUAAUAUUCAAAGUAAAAUAUUAUUUUAAGAGAGCUUUUAUAAAUACAUUCAUGAUAACUGUAGUUAAUAUAUAUAUAAAAUAUUGAAUGUUGAAGAAAUUUAAAGGAGCUCUGAAAGGACAAUUCCUCCUGCUAAAAAUAUAAUUUUCAAACAUAAAUAUAUUUGGUUGCAGAGUAUAUUUUAUUCAUUUAAAAAUAUUAUAAACUCAAUUUUAAAUUAUAAAAAAAAUACUAAGAGAAAGUGGUUUUGAAAACUAGAAUUGAGUUGUGCUAAAAACCACCUUUAAACUGGUUUUGAAACUAUAUAUACUGUUAAAGAAAGUAACAUUGCGUUAUAUAUAGAAUUGAAAAGUAGAUGGAUCAAGAAUCAAAGAAACACGAAGUGGAAGAAUAAAAACAGCAUAAACACCAGAAAAAGAAGAUUGGUUUGGAAAAAAAUGCAGAGAAUUAGAUGCUAUUGGAUUAUAAUAAUAAGCUAAAGAACAACGCUUCCCGCUUCCCUUAGUGAGAGUGAAAAUAUGAUUCUAUAUAAUCAGUUUAUUUAUAGUUUUGGCAUGUGAACAUCCAAACCAUGCUCAUCACAGAACACAAAAUGUACCUAGUUUACUUGACUUUUCCAUUAGUUUUGUGAAUAACUGCACAUUACCUUCUUUAACUCAUCCAUUCUAUCUUUUUGUGGUGUGCUGCAUCUAUUCUACACACAGAAAAGAUGGGAAACAACAACGUUGCUUGUUUUCUCCGUCUAAGAGGGAGUCUUCCAUUUCCAUCCACUCUUCAACUGGGAACAUAUGCUGCCAUCAACAUAAAGACAUCUAUCUCUAACAGGUAUGGUGAUGGAUCAUAUGUCGAAAAUACAGAAGUUUUAUACACCGUUGAAGGGUCAAAGUGCAAACUCGUAUUAGGAAGGACUGUUAGCGGUGACGGAAAUGUCAACCCGCUAUCGUUCGAAUUCCAUGACAGCAUAAUAUCUUCAGACAAAAGAGACCCAGUCCUGCCGAUAGGCAAAGCGGGAACUGGUUUGUUCUGCCUGUGGUUUACGUUUUCCAUCCCCUGGACGAAGACAAGGAGAAACGUUGAUGCAUGGGGUGGUGUUACGGACACCAAAGUUUACUUAUAUGGCACUCCAAACAGGUGUGGUCUUCUUGUUUUUGAGUGCAAGAAAAACGAUUAUCAUGAACCUAAUGCUAAGGCACUGACUAUAGCACACUAUUUUGUUAGUAGUAACGGAACAGUGGCUGUUAACAAAUCAAGUGAAACAACAGAUAUUGGAUUUUCUGUUGUGACAAAGGUUGGAGUCUGUGAUGGAAAGUUUGAUAUAACAGUGGAGGGUCCUGAACGACACCCUGUUUCUGCAUUAUUAUACAUGUUUAGUGAAGUGAGUAGAAGUGGGAUUUGGAAGCCGAGCAUGUGCCCUCAUUGUUGUAACAAUCGGAGGGAGCAUAGCAGAAUGUUUUCGCAGUCUGACAGUGAAGACGAUGUUGUUCCCUUCCCACCACGUCUUGGUAGCCAGCAAAAUAUAGCAACCAUUGCCAACGAUGGAAGGUUCACAGGGCAUGCUAGUGGUAGUUUCAUCAGAUGCAGAAAUUUCUAUGGUUUUAAUUGAGUGAAGAUCCUAACUUUGUGCGUUUCUCUCCCAAUAUAUAUGUUGAAUAAUGUGUUAGUCUUGUAGAAUUUUAAGAAUGUUUCAAUGUACUACAAAAUGUGUUGUAUUUGGAGUUUCAACAAUCAUAUGAUUGCAGACAAAGAAUGACAAAUUGUAAUCCGAUCCUUUUUCAUGUUGAAAAUAGGUAAUAAAAAGGAGCAUUAUUCUUCCACAUAUAUCAAUUCAAUCAUCUACCUAUUAUUCUCC